rnacentral:rRNA from 1 species
GUUGUAUAGUUAAGUGAGAAAGCGUACAGGGCGGAUGCCUUGGCAAUCAGAGGCGAAGAAGGACGUGCUAAUCUGCGAAAAGCGUGGGUGAGUUGAUAAGAAGCGUUUAACCCACGAUGUCCGAAUGGGGAAACCCGAUAGGCGAAGAGCCUAUCAUUGCGAGGUGAAUAAAAUAGCCUCGUAAGGCGAACCGGGAGAACUGAAACAUCUAAGUACCCCGAGGAAAAGAAAUCAACCGAGAUUCUGUGAGUAGCGGCGAGCGAAAGCGGAGGAGCCAGUAAGUAAUAGCAGCAGAGAUAGAGGAAUUGUCUGGGAAGGCAAGCGACACAGGGUGAUAGCCCCGUACUUAAAAUCCAGGCUGUGGUACUAAGCUUACGAGAAGUAGGGCGGGACACGAGGAAUCCUGUCUGAAGAUGGGGGACCAUCCUCCAAGGCUAAAUACUCCUGAUUGACCGAUAGUGAACCAGUACUGUGAAGGAAAGGCGAAAAGAACCCCGGUGAGGGGAGUGAAAUAGAACCUGAAACCCUGUACGUACAAGCAGUGGGAGCCCGCAAGGGUGACUGCGUACCUUUUGUAUAAUGGGUCAGCGACUUAUAUUUUGUAGCGAGGUUAACUGAAUAAGGGAGCCGAAGGGAAACCGAGUCUUAACUGGGCGGUGAGUUGCAAGGUAUAGACCCGAAACCCGGUGAUCUAGCCAUGGGCAGGUUGAAGGUUGGGUAACACUAACUGGAGGACCGAACCGACUAAUGUUGAAAAAUUAGCGGAUGACCUGUGGCUGGGGGUGAAAGGCCAAUCAAACCGGGAGAUAGCUGGUUCUCCCCGAAAUCUAUUUAGGUAGAGCCUUGUGUGAAUACCUUUGGGGGUAGAGCACUGUUUCGGCUAGGGGCCCAUCCCGGGUUACCAAACCGAUGCAAACUCCGAAUACCAAAGAGUAAUGCACAGGAGACACACGGCGGGUGCUAACGUCCGUCGUGGAGAGGGAAACAACCCAGACCGCCAGCUAAGGUCCCAAAAUCUAUAUUAAGUGGGAAACGAAGUGGGAAGGCUUAGACAGCUAGGAUGUUGGCUUAGAAGCAGCCACCAUUUAAAGAAAGCGUAAUAGCUCACUAGUCGAGUCGGCCUGCGCGGAAGAUGUAACGGGGCUAAAAUAUAGUACCGAAGCUGCGGCAUCAAUCGAAGGAUUGUUGGGUAGGGGAGCGUUGUGUAAGCGGAAGAAGGUGGUUCGAGAGGAUUGCUGGACGUAUCACAAGUGCGAAUGCUGACAUAAGUAACGAUAAAACGGGUGAAAAACCCGUUCGCCGGAAGACCAAGGGUUCCUGUCCAACGUUAAUCGGGGCAGGGUGAGUCGGCCCCUAAGGCGAGGCUGAAAAGCGUAGUCGAUGGGAAACGGGUUAAUAUUCCCGUACUUGGUAAAGCUGCGAUGUGGGGACGGAGAAGGUUAGGUUAUCGACCUGUUGGAUAUGGUCGUUUAAGUUGGUAGGUGGGUGAGUUAGGUAAAUCCGGCUCACCGUUAACACUGAGAGAUGAUGACGAGGCACUAAGGUGCUGAAGUAACUGAUACCACACUUCCAGGAAAAGCCACUAAGCUUCAGGCUUUACUAAACCGUACUGAAAACCGACACAGGUGGUCAGGUAGAGAAUACUCAGGCGCUUGAGAGAACUCGGGUGAAGGAACUAGGCAAAAUAGCACCGUAACUUCGGGAGAAGGUGUGCCGGCGUAGAUUGUAGUGACUUGCUCACGAAGGUUGAACCGGUCGAAGAUACCAGCUGGCUGCAACUGUUUAUUAAAAACACAGCACUCUGCAAACACGAAAGUGGACGUAUAGGGUGUGAUGCCUGCCCGGUGCUGGAAGGUUAAUUGAUGGUGUAAUCGAAAGAGAAGCUCCUGAUCGAAGCCCCAGUAAACGGCGGCCGUAACUAUAACGGUCCUAAGGUAGCGAAAUUCCUUGUCGGGUAAGUUCCGACCUGCACGAAUGGCAUAAUGAUGGCCAGGCUGUCUCCACCCGAGACUCAGUGAAAUUGAAAUCGCCGUGAAGAUGCGGUGUACCCGCGGCUAGACGGAAAGACCCCGUGAACCUUUACUAUAGCUUGACACUGAACCUUGAAUUUUGAUGUGUAGGAUAGGUGGGAGACUAUGAAGCGGUAACGCCAGUUAUCGUGGAGUCGUUGUUGAAAUACCACCCUUUAACGUUUGAUGUUCUAACGAAGUGCCUGAAACGGGUACUCGGACAGUGUCUGGUGGGUAGUUUGACUGGGGCGGUCUCCUCCCAAAGUGUAACGGAGGAGCACGAAGGUUUGCUAAUGACGGUCGGACAUCGUCAGGUUAGUGCAAUGGUAUAAGCAAGCUUAACUGCGAGACAGACAAGUCGAGCAGGUGCGAAAGCAGGUCAUAGUGAUCCGGUGGUUCUGAAUGGAAGGGCCAUCGCUCAACGGAUAAAAGGUACUCCGGGGAUAACAGGCUGAUACCGCCCAAGAGUUCAUAUCGACGGCGGUGUUUGGCACCUCGAUGUCGGCUCAUCACAUCCUGGGGCUGAAGUAGGUCCCAAGGGUAUGGCUGUUCGCCAUUUAAAGUGGUACGCGAGCUGGGUUUAGAACGUCGUGAGACAGUUCGGUCCCUAUCUGCCGUGGGCGUUGGAGAAUUGAGAGGGGCUGCUCCUAGUACGAGAGGACCGGAGUGGACGCAUCACUGGUGUACCAGUUGUCUCGCCAGAGGCAUUGCUGGGUAGCUAAAUGCGGAAGAGAUAAGUGCUGAAAGCAUCUAAGCACGAAACUUGCCUUGAGAUGAGUUCUCCCAGUCUAUAAGACUGUAAGGGUUGUUGGAGACUACGACGUAGAUAGGCUGGGUGUGUAAGCGGUGUGAGCCGUUGAGCUAACCAGUACUAAUUGCCCGAGAGGCUUAACUAUACAACGCUCAAGGGUUUUG